CGCGAUCUGAACCUUUGGUACCUACAAGGAGGGUGUCUCACCGAACGGUAGCUAAGACCUCACCAGGACCGCGCGGAAGUGAGGAGUCGCGGCCAAAGGCGCCCGCCGGAGCCUCGUCUCUGGGCCGGACCCCAACCCGAGCGGCCGAAAGGAGCCCCCCGCCCGGAUCACAGGGCUGCCCCGCCGAGCCAAGCCCACUGCAGAGCACUCGGAUCCUGACACCCGGCGUCGAGUUGGGGAAGGACCAGAAAGGGCUACCAGGUGGUUAGGUGUUGAGUGCUGGAAGCAAGGAGUAAUUAACGUUGAGACAAAAGCUGCCGCUGAAAUUCGCUGCGGCCGCUGCCUCUUCCCGCUUUAAUCCCAGACCUCCAGUCAUUGGGCAGCUCCUCAGAGGCAAGAAGUCAACACCAUGGCAACCCGACAAGCCUAUCAAAUCACCGGCUGGUGUGACAGCAGCAACACUGCAGGCUGGAGUGGGCUGGGCAGAAGAGCAGAGUGGCCUCUACGCUCAGUGACAAAAUGAUGCCAUCAUUUUUAUGUGACUCAUAUGCAAAAUGAAAUACAUUCAUCUCUGAGGUCUGCUGAUGGGAAAUGAAAUCAGAUAUUUCACUUCUAACUCUAUCAAGCAAAAGAAAAAUCAGUUGUGAUUCCAAGAAGACAUGAACUCUUGGCUUACCACUGAAAAGCUGUAAGCAUCCAAACUACGAAGAUCUCUUUGGACCCAUUGGACUCUGGCUUUCCUGGCUGAUCUGUGGCAUUGACUUCAAGGCGACAGAGGCAGAAGACUUUUUUUAACCUUCAUUAUUUAUAAGUUUACUCUUGAAAGUGAAUGAAAAAGUUAAAUGUGGCUUCUUGGAGGUGUGCCUGGCAGUCUGGGCUAUAGAUUAGCUAACCAAGCCACAUGGCUCUCAUGGGGUUUAGCACAAUUCCAACCUGAAUUGUUCUGAUCCCUGGGCUAUCUUGAUAAAGCACCACUCUUUUUCCCCUUUUAAAGACAUAAUAGGGUGUUCCUGGGAUUAUAAAUAAUUUUCCUAUACAAAUACCUGAUUUUUUAAUUUCAAAAAGAAUGAAAAUCGUGUUUAAGAUUUUAGAAUGCCCUUUGAGAUACUAGAAAUACCCUAGGAUGCUGGGAUGAUUUGUCACUACUUAAAAAAAAAAGUGGGCUUCCCUGGUGGCGCAGUGGUUGAGAAUCUGCCUGCCAAUGCAGGGGACACGGGUUCGAGCCCUGGUCUGGGAAGAUCCCACAUGCCGCGGAGCAGCUGGGCCCGUGAGCCACAAUUACUGAGCCUGCGCGUAUGGAGCCUGUGCUCCGCAACAAGAGAGGCCGCGAUAGUGAGAGGCCCGCGCACCGCGAUGAAGAGUGGCCCCCACUUGCCGCGGCUAGGGGAAGCCCUCGCGCAGAAACGAAGACCCAACACAGCCAAAAGUUAAUAAUAAUAAUAAAUAAAUAAAUAAAUAAAAUUAAAAAAAAAAAGUGAUACUCAGCAGGAUGAGUUGAGAAGACUACAGCUCAGACUCUGAAUUAAGUACAAGGUACCAAGAAUAUGCAGUGGCCUGAAACGUUACACCAAAGAGCGUGUGUGUUGAUGUUUAGCAGAAGGACAAAUCCUUUCUCAUUGUGAAGGACAGUGUGUCUACUGUGAGUUUGGGUCUGAUACUCUUCUUUGCAUCGCUUGAAUUCUGUGACUCCACUUCUAUGUCUCUGAUGCAUAUCCACACGGGCCCGUGUUGGUUCAUGAUUAUUUGGUCCUUCUUUUGUAUCAUCAGGCUGGAAAAGUGCUCUUCUUUUCUCCCAUAGCACCCCAAUUAUACUGAAAUUAUUUUUUUUAGGAGCCUGUCUCUUUCCUUAAAAUGUAAGUACGCUAAGGAUAGGGACCAUGUUUUGCCAGUGUUUACAGCCUGUCUUCUAAUGGGUGCUCAGACAUUACUGAGUGGAAUAGCAUGGCAUGCACGCUUCCAAAAGUUCUCAGUCUUUCGACCUGUAAUUGCUACACAUUGAAUUUUUUAAUAGAGAGACUUCUAUCAAGGAUAUAUUUCUUUCAGUUUAGCUACUUCUGCCCCAAUUUGCUAUUCCAUCUUUCUGUGCUAGGUUUAAAGGUGAGGCUCUGCCCCCAUUACAUGAAAAUGUGCUCUGCUAAAGCCUUCUGCAAAACAUGUCCUCCAAGACGCCUGCUGAUGGCGAUCAUCUCUGGAUUCUCCUACCUUUGUGCAUGUUCCAAAUAUGUUAUGGGAGUAGAAGCCAGAGACCCUGGCACAAAGGGCUGCCUUUACAGCCUUCCUUGUGGCAGGGACGGCUAGGUCUGCAUUACCAUGUGUUAUGUGAUGAUUCACUUCACCCCAAUUUGCCCUUUGGGAACUGCUGUGAAAACUUCUUUUGUACAGUAAAUCAUGACAGCAUUUGGCCUUCAUUUGGGGGUGAAUGCAUGGUUUCUAUAUUAAAGCCAUUUCUUUUUUCCCUUUAGAAAUACCAUGUGGCAUCAAUUUGUUUGUAAGCACAAAUCAAAUGGCAGUUUGGGAUCCUCCAGAUGAUCCAGAAUAUGCUGUAUUAAGUUUUUUAAAGGUGAUCAGAGCAACAAAAACCUAGCAUUGAAAAUAAAUGUUAGAGACGACUUGAAUCCCCAAGAAUACAUUCAUAUACCCACAGAGUUUCUCAGAUGCUUAGAGAAAAUCUGUCCUGAAACUUUAAAAUUAGGGCGUUAAUAAUAUAGGUCACAAAUUGGGCUUCCCUGGUGGUGCAGUGGUUGAGAAUCUGCCUGCUAAUGCAGGGGACAGUGUCGGGUUCGAGCUCUGGUUUGGGAAGAUCCCACAUGCCGUGGAGCAACUAGGCCCGUGAGACACAACUACUGAGCCUGCGCGUCUGGAGCCUGGGCUCCGCAACAAGAGAGGCCGCGACAGUGAGAGGCCCGCGCACCGCGAUGAAAAGUGGCCCCCGCUUGCCGCAACUAGAGAAAACCCUCGCACAGAAACGAAGACCCAACACAGCCAAAAAUAAAUAAAUAAAAUAAUAUAGGUCACAAAUUAAUGUACUAUUUAGAAAUAUGUACAUUUUCCAUGCGUGUGUGUGUGUGGGGGGGGGUGCAUGUGUGUGUAUCUGCUGGCUGAAGUCUGUUUGUUCUACCCAGUAAGCAGAAUUUUAUACUAUUGAUCUUCAGCCACAGGUGAGAUUAAGAUAUAGCACAAGAAGCAGUGUCAUCUUCAUAGCUUCAACUUUUCAAAUGUGUCAGAUAUGGACAAAUAUGGUAAUUCCCUAAGUAACAGCUCACUGAUCUGCCUCUAGCCCCAGGGAAUAAUCCAGGCUCUGUGCUAUGGGUUUCCAAAUUCAUCCAAGCAGCCAUACUUGUGGCUCUUGUGGUUGGUCUGUGGCCUGAAGCUUAACUUGCCCAGCAGUUCUGUUUCCCAAAAUAGGCUCAGGAAGUUUGUGACCAUGUUUGAUUUGUUCCAAAGGGGCUGCCAUAUAUUUAAUGAGGCUGUGAACAUACACUAAGAUUUGUAUAUGGCUCAUCAAAUAAAAUACAUCUUCAACCCUCUUUUCACUUCAGUACGUGGUUUGGAGUGGGCUGUUUUACAAGCACAUGUGUUUAUCAUAUGGCUUUAUUUGGGGACAAACAUCACUUCUUAUAGUUAGGAUACAAUUUCUGAGUAGCUGAACACUGCUUCAUUCCUCCCUACUAGAGAAAAAACAUUAAGCUGGAUAGUCCUUUCUCCUUACUCUUGGCAGGUUUCUUUGGAUGCGGAGGUGUU